CUUUCCCUCUGGCGGUAGACCUAACACAUGCAAGUCGAACGGCAGCACAGUAAGAGCUUGCUCUUACGGGUGGCGAGUGGCGGACGGGUGAGGAAUACAUCGGAAUCUACUUUUUCGUGGGGGAUAACGUAGGGAAACUUACGCUAAUACCGCAUACGACCUACGGGUGAAAGCAGGGGAUCUUCGGACCUUGCGCGAUUGAAUGAGCCGAUGUCGGAUUAGCUAGUUGGCGGGGUAAAGGCCCACCAAGGCGACGAUCCGUAGCUGGUCUGAGAGGAUGAUCAGCCACACUGGAACUGAGACACGGUCCAGACUCCUACGGGAGGCAGCAGUGGGGAAUAUUGGACAAUGGGCGCAAGCCUGAUCCAGCCAUACCGCGUGGGUGAAGAAGGCCUUCGGGUUGUAAAGCCCUUUUGUUGGGAAAGAAAAGCAGCAGGUUAAUACCCCGCUGUUCUGACGGUACCCAAAGAAUAAGCACCGGCUAACUUCGUG
rnacentral:rRNA from 1 species